UGAAACUACAAUUUGUUGAGCACUGACCAUGCAGGAAACCCGUUUUUCCCCGUUUUCUCUUUUGUGCUCACAGCACCUCCUGGAGUAGGUGUUCCUAUCAUCCUCUCUUUAUAGCUCAGGAGCCAAAGCUCAGCCAGCCCGAAGGAGCCAGGAUUAGAGCCUGCAUGGAUGCAACAGUCACGCUUCUCUCUAUUACGUGUCUUGCAACUUGGAGUCACAUGAUCUCAGCAUCUGAUCCACCCUGGGCUCAGAACCUCCCAGAACCUCCCAGAAUCGAGGCUCACGGCAGAGGUUCUGCACUCACCAAGGACGCGGGGGGACCAUGUCUGUGCUCAUGUGGAUCCCCGCUGCUGGGCAGAGCACACCACACAUCCAGACUCAACAAAAUACAUGGAGUCAAAGGUCAGGUGACUGAAUCAAUGAGUAUGUUACACACCAAGAAAGACCCCUCCUCUCUGCACCCCGGGGAGCAGCCCCAGAAGCCUGGUCUCCUCCAGGAUGAAAAUGCAAACGCAGGUGCCUGGGGGCUCCCAGAGCCUUUGGCUUCACGGUUCCCUCCCGGCCCUGCCUGGAGCUUCAUGUGCCUCCCCUUUUGCUUAAUGAGAGCCGCUG
rnacentral:lncRNA from 10 species